AAAGGGGCCGCAUUCAGCUUUUACCCUGGACACCUCAUCUCUGAAAGGCUAAGCUUGUCUCUUUCCACUUCUGUUUAAAACCUUAUUAAAUGCAGCCUGGUGGUAACCUCAGGUACAACCAAUGGCAAACUUCUUCUCCUGCUAUCUCUCCACAGAGAACUUCUGAAGAGCCUCUGCAAGCCACCACCAUGUCCUCCUCUUUACCACCGAAGAAAGAGGGAAGCAGACAUCUGGAUGCAACUUAAUAGGUUUCCAAGAUAAACAUCCCCUCCUGUGAAGAUAACUCCCAAAUGAACAACAAAGCCUUCAAGUCAGUGUUGUGAGCUCUAUGCCUCCUUCCCACAUCUAUCGACUAUUCAUAGUUGGCCUUUCAAAAUGCUGGAUUGCAGAAUUUCACCCAUCUCUGCCACGGUUUACCUCCAUUCCCCAGAGAAGCAGGAGCUGGAUAUGAGGAGAGGUUUACAGGCUCCCACAGACAAUGCCGGAAAGAACCCAGGUAACAAUGUCUCCCCAAGUGUCUUCAUCUGCUUUUGACAUGUGACCUCCUACCCUAGAAUACCACCAUACGACUCUAGCUCUGUGGGCCCCCAGCAGCAAGAAAAGCAUAGCUUCUAUUAAAGAGCUGAUUAUGUGCCUAGCAUUGUACUAAGCACUGAGGUG
rnacentral:lncRNA from 1 species